GUUGUAUGGUUAAGUGACUAAGCGUGCACGGUGGAUGCUUGGCAGUCAGAGGCGAUGAAGGACGUGCUAACCUGCGUUAAGCACGGGUGAGCUGGUAAGAAGCGCUUGAGCCCGUGAUAUCCGAAUGGGGAAACCCACUGCACUCAGUGCAGUAUCGCCACGUGAAUACAUAGCGUGGCGAGGCGAACCGGGAGAACUGAAACAUCUAAGUACCCCGAGGAAAAGAAAUCAACCGAGAUUCCCCUAGUAGCGGCGAGCGAACGGGGACCAGCCCUUAAGCUGUUUGUGGUGUAGUGGAACGGUCCUGGAAAGGCCGGCCGUAGUGGGUGAUAGCCCCGUACACCAAACCCCACUUACAGUGAAAUCGAGUAGGACGGGACACGUGAUAUCCUGUUUGAACAUGGGGGGACCAUCCUCCAAGGCUAAAUACUCCUGACUGACCGAUAGUGAACCAGUACCGUGAGGGAAAGGCGAAAAGAACCCCUGUGAGGGGAGUGAAAUAGAACCUGAAACCGUGUACGUACAAGCAGUGGAAGCCCUUCGAGGGUGACUGCGUACCUUUUGUAUAAUGGGUCAGCGACUUACUUUUAGUAGCAAGGUUAACCGUAUAGGGGAGCCGUAGGGAAACCGAGUCUUAACUGGGCGACUAGUUGCUAGGAGUAGACCCGAAACCCGGUGAUCUAGCCAUGAGCAGGUUGAAGGUUGAGUAACAUCAACUGGAGGACCGAACCCACUAAUGUUGCAAAAUUAGGGGAUGACUUGUGGCUGGGGGUGAAAGGCCAAUCAAACCGGGAGAUAGCUGGUUCUCCCCGAAAGCUAUUUAGGUAGCGCCUCGGACGAAUACUACUGGGGGUAGAGCACUGUUUGGGCUAGGGGGUCAUCCCGACUUACCAACCCCAUGCAAACUCCGAAUACCAGUAAGUACUAUCCGGGAGACACACGGCGGGUGCUAACGUCCGUCGUGAAGAGGGAAACAACCCAGACCGCCGGCUAAGGUCCCAAAGUCAUAGUUAAGUGGGAAACGAAGUGGGAAG
rnacentral:rRNA from 1 species